CACUGCAUAUAGGGGAGCUUAGCGCUGAGAGGUCGCCUUCGGGCGACGACCCUUUGACCUGAUCUGGGUAAUGCCAGCGGAGGGAGAGAAAUGGAAACGAAUAUC
rnacentral:ncRNA from 2 species